rnacentral:lncRNA from 1 species
UGGCCGCCCCCGCAUCCAGCGCCCGGGCCGCCGCGCUCACCAGGGCACCACCAACACUUAAUUAAGCCUCCAUCUUCAGGCAAGAAAGUCUGUGAUAUGAAUGAAGGGAUCAUUAAAGACACGUGGAAUCAAAGCUUUUGGUCAACUGCCAACAAGGUACAGAGGCCCAACAGCAAUCAUCGAAUGAGCUUAGAAGUGGAUCCUCUCACCCCAGUUGAGCCUUCUGAUGACUGCAGCUCUGGCUGAUGCUUGACUACAACUUCAUCAGAAAUCCUCAUGAAGAUCCAGCACCUUCCAGUUAGCCCAUCUGUGGGUUCUUGACCCUCAGAAAUUCUAUGAGAUAAUAAAUAUUUGUUGUUUUAAGUUGCUAAACUUUGGG